rnacentral:rRNA from 1 species
UAGGGAAUCUUCCGCAAUGGACGCAAGUCUGACGGAGCAACGCCGCGUGAGUGAAGAAGGAUUUCGGUUCGUAAAACUCUGUUGUUAGAGAAGAACAGCGCAUAGAGUAACUGUUAUGCGUGUGACGGUAUCUAACCAGAAAGCCACGGCUAACUACGUGCCAGCAGCCGCGGUAAUACGUAGGUGGCAAGCGUUGUCCGGAUUUAUUGGGCGUAAAGCGAGCGCAGGCGGUCAAUUAAGUCUGAUGUGAAAGCCCCCGGCUCAACCGGGGAGGGUCAUUGGAAACUUGUUGACUUGAGUGCAGAAGAGGAGAGUGGAAUUCCAUGUGUAGCGGUGAACUGCGUAGAUAUAUGGAGGAACACCAGUGGCGAAGGCCACUCUCUGGUCUGUAACUGACGCUGAGGCUCGAAAGCGUGGGUAGCAAACAGG